CCCACUAAAAAUAACCCACCAUCAGCCGUACAUCUUGCGAUAUGGGCUAAGAAGAUAACUACCGUGAAGAAAGAGAUCGAUCUCUCACCUCUAAACCUAGCGCCGCCAUGCCGCGACGCCUCCUCUGCCAAGCUCCUCUCCUUCCAAUCCCCCGACUCGCCAUCGUAGGUCCACCGCCCUGCGCUCGCCGGGCGCCAGCAGCAGCCCCGGGGACGCUGUCCUCCAGGCGGCGCCCCAGCCCCAGUACGCCCGUCCUCCAGGCGGCGGUCAGCCCCAGUACGCCCGUCCUCCAGGCGACGGCCCAGCAUCAGGAACACGGUGAUUUGGAGGCCACGAGGGAUCCUGCGAUCGAGCGCACAAGGCCUGGUCACUGGAUCUUUAGCAAUAGCUUGGCCAGUUCAUCUGUAGGUGAGUCGAUCUACAUUUACUUUUCAGCUGUUCUAUCAAUUCAUUCAAAGUAAAAAAUUGGAGCCUCUCCCUUCGCGCGUAAUUAAUUGUGGAGGAGAAUCUAACACUGCACGUACUUCAGAUUAUCUAUAUUAAGAUAGGACAACACUACUUUGUCUUUUUUUGAACUCUUUUUUUACUAAUUAUACCACUGGUUCAAUUAAAUGUCGAUCUUACACAUAGCUUACUUCGUUGUUUUCUCCCAAAUUAUGGACACUCACGUAUGCGGGUGUUUGAUAAACAACCUCUGAGAAUACCCCGAUAAUACAAGAUGGUCAGUGUUCUUUACGAACCUUUCUUUUUCAUGUGGUUAAUAAUCAAAGCUCGUGUAUCAACUACCAAAGCACCUCAUUCCCACCAUAAAUGAAAAUGAGAAUUUUGCGCCCAUGUUCUUAUAUUUUCUGGAAUAAGCAUGCCUUCUACUAUCAUACAUGUAGGGCCCGUUUGGAUGCAAAGUAUUUUCAAAGUAUUACUAGAAUACCACAGUUUUUUUCUUUAAAACAGUACUUUUGAAUACUUUGAGGUGUUUGGCUAUACCAAAAACUGUAGUUUCAUAAACGGUCGUAUUGUUGAUACUAUGGUUUUUUUGGAGUAUUAAAAAAAGAGGUCCGUACCUCUUUUUUUCUCAAACUGAGGAAAAGACGCUCGUGCGGCAUCCGUUCGUUCACUACCGUGCAGCUUGGUUUGUAAGCAUAUAACUAAUCAUAUGGCAGUAUCCUUUCGUAGUAUUGAUUCAUUCCUUUCCAUCACAUGCACCAGACUAGUUAAACCAGGAUACUCAUUUAGUUAGCUAGGGCCGAUCACGUCCGCAACUUCCUCGCUCAGUGUUCAAAAGUCCUUACAGCGCUGCAUGCAGCUGGGCGGUCGUUAGCACACACUGAUUGAUCCGGUCGUGUAGCUCUAUAGUUGUAAUAUAAGUUAGAUUAAGUUGUGUAACUAUCAGUCAAAACUACAGUAAAACAACACCAGCCAAACAUAUCAGUAGUUUUCCUAAAACUGAGAGAAUUGCGGUUUUUUAAAAACUGUAGUAUUCAUUACCCAAGCAUUGCAAUACUGAAGUUUGAAAUACUAUGGUAUUCUUAAAACUACGCUGCCAAAAUAGGCCAUAGUUUCUCAUCUGCAAAACUUUUCUCAUGUUAUCUGAUAAAGAGCGCUCCCUGGAUGGAUAUAUUAUCAUGUUUGGUAAGAUUUAAUCAUAUGUGCUUAUGUGAAACAUCUGGGUCAGAUGCUUUGCACUAUGUCUGGAGCAGCUAAAUUGUGUGAUGCUCACUUAUGUAGAUGUUGUAUUAGACUGAAGAUUAUUAAUGUGAACUACCAUGAGAAUUCAGUCUCUUUAUGGUAAACUGUCGUCUUAUGUAGAGCUAGUAUUAAGGCUUAGAUAUUAUUAGUGUCAAAAACCAUGAGAACUCAGUCCCUGUAUGUUAAAUUGCUGUUAUUUCUGUACAUAUACUUCUUAGUAAAUUGUUGUUAUUUUUUCUUACAAAUAUACUUCAUGCAUUCUCACCUUUGCGAAUCCGUCAAUGACAUCAAGAUUUAUCUCUCUUUUUACAGUAUGUCUCUACACUUCAUAUGGUUACAUGACAUCUACCAGACUAGAUUGAACUUCUGCAGUGCAUGUUUACCUCGAUGAGGUACGUAAAUAUCGCUCUUCUCUAUUCUUAUGGUUGUCUGUUCAGCAAAGUAAAACUUACUAGUAGAAAUUCCAAUGAAUUUAUUUAUAUCUCAUUUGCCUUCCUUUGCAGAAAAAACUUCUAUGUACGGAUUUUGAAGGCAGCAACCACUAGGAUAAACUAGAGACGCAGAGAAAACAAGGAGCUAUUGUUCCAUUAUCAGCAUGUAGAUACUACAAGUCAUAGAUGUUUCAACUAGUUUGUGAGACAUGUAAUUCUUUUAUAGACGAUGUGUACAAUUGAGUUUAUAAGCUACUACUGGCUCCUUCUCUCAGUAAUGGUAUAAAACAACAUUAUUAUUUUGUGUGAUGACAUACAUCUUUUUAAUAUAUUCUGAUAUGUAAAUGAGUGUCAAAUUAUUUGGUAUUAGCAAGUAAUUUCAUUAAGCGCAAUUGAACAAUAAUUUUUUAUACAAUGUAAAUAGGAUAUAUCAUAUAUGCAG
rnacentral:lncRNA from 1 species